UACGUAGGUGGCGAGCGUUGUCCGGAUUUACUGGGCGUAAAGCGCGCGUAGGUGGCCUGCCAAGUCUGGGGUGAAAUCUCUCGGCUUAACCGGGAGGGGUCUUCAGAUACUGGUGGGCUUGAGGGCAGCAGAGGUCGGUGGAAUUCCCGGUGGAGUGGUGAAAUGCGUAGAUAUCGGGAGGAACACCAGUGGCGAAGGCGGCCGACUGGGCUGUCCCUGACACUGAGGUGCGAAAGCGUGGGUAGCAAACAGG
rnacentral:rRNA from 1 species